GCUGGGUGCAGUUGUGCAUGCCUGUAAUCCCAGUUGCUUGGGAGGCUGUGAGACAGGAGGAUCGGAAGUUCAAAGCCAGCCUCAGCAAAAGUGAGACGCCAAGCAACUCAGUGAGACCCUGUCUCUA
rnacentral:sRNA from 1 species